ensembl:lncRNA
GGGGGAUUUUCCAAACGAAAAUGCAUGAUUUUCUUUUUAGAUGGGGGAUUUUCAUAGAGAAAAGGCAUGAUUUUUGUGUUAAGUGGGGGAUAUUUGCAAAAAAAAAAAAACGAGGCGCGUGAUUUUUUGGGUUAAACAGGGGAUUUUUGAAGAGAAAAUGUGUGAUUUUCAGUUAAAUCGCGGAAUCUCUAAGAGAAAAUGCCUGAUGUUUGCAUUAAAUGUGUGAUUUCGUAGAGAUAAUGCGUGAUUUUCAGGUUACAUGGGAGAUUUUUGCAGAGAAAAUG